AGAGUUUGAUCCUGGCUCAGGACGAACGCUGGCGGCGUGCCUAAUACAUGCAUGUUGAGCGCUGAAGGUUGGUACUUGUACCAACUGGAUGAGCAGCGAACGGGUGAGUAACGCGUGGGGAAUCUGCCUUUGAGCGGGGGACAACAUUUGGAAACGAAUGCUAAUACCGCAUAAAAACUUUAAACACAAGUUUUAAGUUUGAAAGAUGCAAUUGCAUCACUCAAAGAUGAUCCCGCGUUGUAUUAGCUAGUUGGUGAGGUAAAGGCUCACCAAGGCGAUGAUACAUAGCCGACCUGAGAGGGUGAUCGGCCACAUUGGGACUGAGACACGGCCCAAACUCCUACGGGAGGCAGCAGUAGGGAAUCUUCGGCAAUGGACGAAAGUCUGACCGAGCAACGCCGCGUGAGUGAAGAAGGUUUUCGGAUCGUAAAACUCUGUUGGUAGAGAAGAACGUUGGUGAGAGUGGAAAGCUCAUCAAGUGACGGUAACUACCCAGAAAGGGACGGCUAACUACGUGCCAGCAGCCGCGGUAAUACGUAGGUCCCGAGCGUUGUCCGGAUUUAUUGGGCGUAAAGCGAGCGCAGGUGGUUUAUUAAGUCUGGUGUAAAAGGCAGUGGCUCAACCAUUGUAUGCAUUGGAAACUGGUAGACUUGAGUGCAGGAGAGGAGAGUGGAAUUCCAUGUGUAGCGGUGAAAUGCGUAGAUAUAUGGAGGAACACCGGUGGCGAAAGCGGCUCUCUGGCCUGUAACUGACACUGAGGCUCGAAAGCGUGGGGAGCAAACAGGAUUAGAUACCCUGGUAGUCC
rnacentral:rRNA from 1 species